rnacentral:rRNA from 2 species
UACGAAGGUGGCAAGCGUUACUCGGAAUUACUAGGCGUAAAGGGCAGGUAGGUGGUUUGGUUAGUCUGUUGUGAAAGCUCCCGGCUUAACUGGGAGAGGUCAACGGAUACUGCCAAACUUGAGUAUAGGAGAGGUUACUGGAAUUCCCGGUGUAGCGGUGAAAUGCGCAGAGAUCGGGAGGAACACCAAUGGCGAAAGCAGGUAACUGGACUAUUACUGACACUCAGCUGCGAAAGCUAGGGGAGCAAACAGG